rnacentral:rRNA from 1 species
AGUGAACGCUGGCGGUAGGCCUAACACAUGCAAGUCGAACGGCAGCACAGUAAGAGCUUGCUCUUACGGGUGGCGAGUGGCGGACGGGUGAGGAAUACAUCGGAAUCUACUUUUUCGUGGGGGAUAACGUAGGGAAACUUACGCUAAUACCGCAUACGACCUACGGGUGAAAGCAGGGGAUCUUCGGACCUUGCGCGAUUGAAUGAGCCGAUGUCGGAUUAGCUAGUUGGCGGGGUAAAGGCCCACCAAGGCGACGAUCCGUAGCUGGUCUGAGAGGAUGAUCAGCCACACUGGAACGUAGACACGGUCCAGACUCCUACGGGAGGCAGCAGUGGGGAAUAUUGGACAAUGGGCGCAAGCCUGAUCCAGCCAUACCGCGUGAGUGAAGAAGGCCUUCGGGUUGUAAAGCCCUUUUGUUGGGAAAGAAAAGCAGCAGGUUAAUACCCCGCUGUUCUGACGGUACCCAAAGAAUAAGCACCGGCUAACUUCGUG